rnacentral:rRNA from 1 species
GAUGAACGCUGGCGGCGUGCCUAAUACAUGCAAGUCGAGCGAACGGACGAGAAGCUUGCUUCUCUGAUGUUAGCGGCGGACGGGUGAGUAACACGUGGAUAACCCACCUAUAAGACUGGGAUAACUUCGGGAAACCGGAGCUAAUACCGGAUAAUAUUUUGAACCGCAUGGUUCAAAAGUGAAAGACGGUCUUGCUGUCACUUAUAGAUGGAUCCGCGCUGCAUUAGCUAGUUGGUAAGGUAACGGCUUACCAAGGCAACGAUGCAUAGCCGACCUGAGAGGGUGAUCGGCCACACUGGAACUGAGACACGGUCCAGACUCCUACGGGAGGCAGCAGUAGGGAAUCUUCCGCAAUGGGCGAAAGCCUGGCGGAGCAACGCCGCGUGAGUGAUGAAGGUCUUCGGAUCGUAAAACUCUGUUAUUAGGGAAGAACAUAUGUGUAAGUAACUGUGCACAUCUUGACGGUACCUAAUCAGAAAGCCACGGCUAACUACGUG